rnacentral:rRNA from 1 species
UACGUAGGCAGCAAGCGUUGUUCGGAGUUACUGGGCGUAAAGGGUGCGUAGGCGGUUGUUUAAGUUUGGUGUGAAAUCUCCCGCUCAACUGGGAGGGUGCGCCGAAUACUGAAUGACUAGAGUGCGGGAGAGGAGAGUGGAAUUCCUGGUGUAGCGGUGAAAUGCGUAGAUAUCAGGAGGAACACCGGUGGUGUAAACGGCUUUCUGGACCAUAACUGACGCUGGAGGCACGAAAGCGUGGGUAGCAAACAGG